rnacentral:rRNA from 1 species
UACGGAGGGUGCAAACGUUGCUCGGAAUCAUUGGGCGUAAAGCGCACGUAGGCGGCCUGUUAAGUCGGAUGUGAAAGCCCCGGGCUCAACCCGGGAAGUGCAUUCGAAACUGGCGGGCUUGAAUAUGGAAGAGGGUCGCGGAAUUCCCGGUGUAGAGGUGAAAUUCGUAGAUAUUCGCAAGAACACCAGUGGCGAAGGCGGCUCACUGGCCCGGUACUGACGCUGAGGUGCGAAAGCGUGGGGAGCAAACAGG